ensembl:lncRNA
GAGUGUUCUAUUAAUUUGCCAAGUCUCCCACCUGAAAGCACUAUCUAAGUAUGUGGACCAGGGAGUAUUCAAAAGUCCUUCAAAGCACACCUUCAUUGACCUCUGCUUGAGAAUGUGCUUCACUCGAGAACUGCACAACCGCCUGUGUUUUCAAUUAGAGGAUAUAAAAUGUCAACUAACAUUCCGUGGCAAGAAACACAAUUAUCAGAUGCCAGUCUUUAGUGCACUUCUCCAAAACGCGAAUUCCAUGUGUCGUUGGUGGCUGUAGGUGGACCAAUGCAGAGAAACAACUAUGUUUCUACACAACAUACAUUUGUAACAAGUGGAUGACCCCUCGUUCCCAAUGAAUGAUUACGUCUGAGGAAGUCGCCGUGCAUUAUUCCCGACUGUUUCCCAGAAAGAAUGAAGAAAUGGUGGAAUUUUUUGGUAAGUCACAGCCUCCUGUGCUUUCCCUAUGAGUGUGGAGGCGGGGCACUUCAGUCCAAGACUCGUCCACCGAAAAUAACCUGCAUGAGGGAGGGAAGAGACUUCCAGAGAAAAGUGAGAGAGAGUAGAGGGAGGAGGAAAGGAUAGUGCCCGAAAAAGCGGGGAGGGAGAGAAGAAGAAGAAGAACGGAGUGCCUGCGCUGCGAUGGAAUAAAAACUGCGCAAUUUUAAAUCCUAUCUCCGCUGCUCUUCCAGCGCUGGCCAGCGGCUGCAGCGCAGCCACACGCCACCCGAUGUCUCCUGGACAUGCGAACACGUUUCGUCCAGCUUGCGUGGAUUUCCUCGUCCUUUACCACUGGCUGUUCGUUUAGACAACAAUUGUGUGACAAUUUCUUUGAUAGUCUUUGAGCUACAUGGCAAACGUUUUGGAGAAGAAUUGGCAGAGACAAGCCUCUGUGACGGCCACAUCUUUGCUUCGGUUUCAUAACGUAUCUGCGUGUGUAGAAGUGCAUCCUCACGCCGUCAUUUCAAACAUGCGUAUCGAUUCGGAAUGCAUAAUUAAACCUUCUUACAUGACCACGCUCGUGCUGCGUGACUCUCCAGGCGUCCAUUCUGGUGGGAAGAGGAGAAUGCCUACCAUAAUCGUCUUUUGGGAUGUAUCACUGGACAAUUUAACGUUAUGGAGAAGGGGCACGGCACCUCCCAGUCACACUCUGCUUUUGGCAGCAGAGAAAUGCAACCAAACAUGAAUGCUGAUGAACUGGCUGGGCAGCCACAGCACAAGGUCAGAGAGUUUGUCCAUGGAUCACGGCCACCAAUCAUGGAGUCUCUCGAGCAACUGAGUGGCAGACCAAAUGGCCAAUCAGCUUUCGGAGAGGAGUCCUCCCUCCCUCUGCUGUGUUUGUCUCUCUGUCUCCCCCGGUCCACCGGGCUGCUCCCUGCCCCUCCCCAGGCAGAGACCACCAUGCUGGGCAGCUCAUAUAUCUUGGGAAGGAGGAGAUAAGGGCUCAUCCUGGAUGUCCUCUGAGCCCCCGUGCUCUCGGCUCAACACUCAGGACUUCCGCUCCCGUGCUCAUGAAAGAACGAGGGAUGAUGGCGAACGACAGAAGAGGAGAGAUGGAUCAAGGGAGAGGAUACAGGCGGAACAAGAGAAGAGCAGAGGUGUUCAGCUGCACUCAUCCUCCUCACUGCAACCUCUCCAAACCUCGAACACACAGGAGAAGGGCGAGAGAGGAAGAGAGAGAGAGAGAAGGAGAGCGAGCGAGUGAGAGACUGAGAGAGAGGAAGAAAGAAAGUGAGAGAGGGAGAGCUGGUAAGAAAUGGAGGGAUAAGAGGUAGAUGAUGAGUGAUAGAGGGAAAGCAGGUGGAUGACAGGAGGCUUUGAUUGGUUCACUACAUGAAAGAGAGAGUGUGUGCCGCCUGACAGCACAGGCCGAUAGGAGAGAGUGGAGAUGAGUGCAACUUAAAACACACUAGUCAGAUCCACACACUCCCCCUCUCUCUCUCUC